rnacentral:rRNA from 1 species
GACGUAGGGGGCAAGCGUUGUCCGGAAUCAUUGGGCGUAAAGCGCUCGUAGGUGGAUCGGUAAGUCUGCAAAGAAAGACCCGGGCUCAACUCGGGGAACGGUGUGGAUACUACCGAUCUUGAGGCAAUCAGAGGAUGAUGGAAUUCCCGGUGUAGCGGUGAAAUGCGUAGAUAUCAGGAGGAACACCAGUGGCGAAGGCGAUCAUCUGGGGUUGUUCUGACACUGAGGAGCGAAAGCUAGGGGAGCAAACGGG